GAAAGCAUCAAACUAGAUACCCUUGUUUAUGGAAAAUGUGAAAAAGGUCACACUCUUCCCAGAUGUUGCCGAACAUUUUUAUUAAGCCGACCAACAGUGCAUUGCCCUCGCUGCAAAGUUUUUGUCCACUCUGCAGCUACUUCACUGUUAGGAGGGAGUCCAACCUGCACCUACUGUGACGGCUUGAUGGCAGAUGAAAUUGGAAGCAGGAAGAGAUCGAGAAAAUAGCAUGAGGAAGGUGUCAUCUGGAGCAGAGGCAGCUCUUUGUUUCGUUCUUUCUUUCUUUUUUGUUUAUUCUUACUUUCUUUCUUUUUUGUUCAUUCUUUCUUGCUUGCUUUUUUUGAUCAUUCUUUCUUGCUUUCUUUUUUUUAUCAUUCUUUCUUGUUUUCUUUUUUGUUCAUUCUUUCUUUUUUUCUCUCCCUUUUUUU